rnacentral:rRNA from 1 species
GACGAACGCUGGCGGCGUGCUUAACACAUGCAAGUCGAACGGAAAGGCCCUGCUUUUGUGGGGUGCUCGAGUGGCGAACGGGUGAGUAACACGUGAGUAACCUGCCCUUGACUUUGGGAUAACUUCAGGAAACUGGGGCUAAUACCGGAUAGGAGCUCCUGCUGCAUGGUGGGGGUUGGAAAGUUUCGGCGGUUGGGGAUGGACUCGCGGCUUAUCAGCUUGUUGGUGGGGUAGUGGCUUACCAAGGCUUUGACGGGUAGCCGGCCUGGGAGGGUGACCGGCCACAUUGGGACUGAGAGACGGACCAGACUCCUACGGGAGGCAGCAGUGGGGAGUAUGGCACAGUGGGGGGGAGCCUGAUGCGGCAACGCCGCGUGCGGGAUGACGGCCUUCGGGUUGUAAACCGCUUUCGCCUGUGACGAAGCGUGAGUGACGGUAAUGGGUAAAGAAGCACCGGCUAACUACGUG